rnacentral:rRNA from 1 species
UACGUAGGGGGGCAAGCGUUGUCCGGAUUUAUUGGGCGUAAAGAGCGUGUAGGCGGCCAGACAGGUCCGCUGUGAAAACUCGAGGCUCAACCUCGAGAUGUCGGUGGAAACCGUCUGGCUAGAGUCCGGAAGAGGAGAGUGGAAUUCCCGGUGUAGCGGUGAAAUGCGCAGAUAUCAGGAAGAACACCAAUGGCGAAGGCAGCUCUCUGGGACGGUACUGACGCUGAGACGCGAAAGCGUGGGGAGCGAACAGG